rnacentral:rRNA from 1 species
GACGAACGCUGGCGGCGUGCUUAACACAUGCAAGUCGAACGGAAAGGCCCUGCUUUUGUGGGGUGCUCGAGUGGCGAACGGGUGAGUAACACGUGAGUAACCUGCCCUUGACUUUGGGAUAACUUCAGGAAACUGGGGCUAAUACCGGAUAGGAGCUCCUGCUGCAUGGUGGGGGUUGGAAAGUUUCGGCGGUUGGGGAUGGACUCGCGGCUUAUCAGCUUGUUGGUGGGGUAGUGGCUUACCAAGGCUUUGACGGGUAGCCGGCCUGAGAGGGUGACCGGCCACAGUGGGACUGAGAUACGGCCCAGACGCCUACGGGAGGCAGCAGUGGGGAAUAUUGCACAAUGGGCGGAAGCCUGAUGCAGCAACGCCGCGUGAGGGAUGACGGCCUUCGGGUUGUAAACCGCUUUCGCCUGUGACGAAGCGUGAGUGACGGUAAUGGGUAAAGAAGCACCGGCUAACUACGUG